AUUGAACGCUAGCGGGAUGCUUUACACAUGCAAGUCGAACGGCAGCGCGGACUUCGGUCUGGCGGCGAGUGGCGAACGGGUGAGUAAUGUAUCGGAACGUGCCCAGUAGCGGGGGAUAACUACGCGAAAGCGUAGCUAAUACCGCAUACGCCCUACGGGGGAAAGCAGGGGAUCGUAAGACCUUGCACUAUUGGAGCGGCCGAUAUCGGAUUAGCUAGUUGGUGAGGUAACGGCUCACCAAGGCGACGAUCCGUAGCUGGUUUGAGAGGACGACCAGCCAAACUGGGACUGAGACACGGCCCAGACUCCUACGGGAGGCAGCAGUGGGGAAUUUUGGACAAUGGGGGCAACCCUGAUCCAGCCAGCCCGCGUGUGCGAUGAAGGCCUUCGGGUUGUAAAGCACUUUUGGCAGGAAAGAAACGUCGCGGGCUAAUACCCCGUGGAACUGACGGUACCUGCAGAAUAAGCACCGGCUAACUACGUG
rnacentral:rRNA from 1 species